UACGUAGGGGGCAAGCGUUGUCCGGAAUCAUUGGGCGUAAAGAGCGUGUAGGCGGCUUGGUAAGUCCGCUGUGAAAGUCCAGGGCUCAACCCUGGAAUGCCGGUGGAAACUGUCAAGCUUGAGUCCGGAAGAGGCGAGUGGAAUUCCUGGUGUAGCGGUGAAAUGCGCAGAUAUCAGGAGGAACACCAAUGGCGAAGGCAGCUCGCUGGGACGGUACUGACGCUGAAGCGCGAAAGCUAGGGGAGCGAACGGG
rnacentral:rRNA from 1 species